rnacentral:rRNA from 11 species
AGCAGCCAGGGUGAGCUGGUCUUGGCGGCGGGUGGUGGCUGAGUCCAGCAGCUUCACCGGGACACAGCUUCCGACAUCCGAGCCCAAGUCGCACAAGAGGCGGCGGAACGACUCUUUGUCACUGCUUGCAAGUCCGCGCCGGCAGCAGCGCCAAGAUGACCGCAGAUCGGAACGGAAAGGGCUGUGGAGUGGAAACGAG